rnacentral:tRNA from 1 species
GGUUGUGGCUCAGUGGUAGAGCACUUGCCUAACGUGUGAGACACUAGGUUCGAGUCUCAGCACCA